ACCGAAUGUGUGUCACUGCCCGAGGCCUGCCCAUUCCGGUUUUGGUUCUUCCCAUCUCAUAAUUUUAUUUGGAUUGAAGUUUUCCGACAGACAAACGUCACCAUGGUUGGUUGGCAGUUGCCUUUCUCAUCCAACAUGCUCCGGCUGUAAUCCCGUGCCUUUUUGCUGCGUUGAUGUCCGUUCGCGUGCAUGGCCGGACUCAUGACUAUAGCAACAACAUGAAGGAACCGAGGCCUCCAGGCAGGCCGCUAGUAGGCCCUUGUGUGCGGUGGUGGGACUUUGUCACAGAGUGCAGUGUGUUCAUGCUUGAUUUUAUUGUGAGUGUGUGUGGUGUAGUGAGACCU